rnacentral:lncRNA from 1 species
GUCGUUCACUGUGCCCUGCGUGGCCUCUGAAUAGAAAAGGACAGUGACAUGAUUUAACAGUAACGGACAGAACAUUAAUACAGGAUAUAAACCGGAUAGCAGUGAUAGCUAUAACAGGACUAUAGCAGGGCAAUGAACCUCGACGCUCGUCUUUGUUUACCUCGUAGUCUGUUGCGUGGUAUUUUCAUCUAUCUCUGUGUGUGCGUGUCAUCUAUAUACCAUGAUGCCGUUUAUCAACUUCAAUAUGGGGACCAACUUCCUUGGAAUACUCCUUGACACAAUUCCUCCAUUGGAUGAAGAGGGGGCCAUAGAUACACUGUCAAAGGAGACAGAGGAGGCAGAUAGAACGAGGGAGGAGGUCUGUAGAACCUGGGUACACCGUGGACUGUUCCCGAGUUCUCAUGAUGCAAUACUCAAUAUCAACACGACAACAUGCGCUUUGUGUGUGCUCUGCUGCCCCCUGGCAGACUCUAGCGGUACUACAGCCUACAGUGAUCUCUCUGCUCUUCCACCCGUAGAAAUAGAAGACAGGACACUAUAUUAUUAUGGUUACACCCACAGGCAAUAUCCCAUCUAUGGUUGCAUCACUCCCUGUCUUAGAGAGCACCUCACUGUCUUAGCAUACAUGCUUGUCAGACGUAACCACCGAUUGUGAUGUUGUCGGUGAAGUUGUGAAGUCGGUGUAAUCUGCUGCCGCUGGAACUCAACGACGCGCACCACAGUCAACCAGCGCUUACGUCACAAGGCGCAACAGAAUGCAUUGCACCAUGACUCUCUAGUGCCAGUAGUAGUAAAACUGUAGUUCCACACACUUCCUAUUCAGAGAGCUGCCUGCGUCAGUGAUGAUAACCAUUAGGGAAAGAUUCCACACGCACUGUUCAUCACCACACUAAGACAUGCUGUACUUGUUCUACAUAAUGUAUCCUCUGUCUUAGACAGGCAGUAGAUGAAAUAAAACCAACGGAAGAAUGUGCAUCAUAUGUUUCUUCAUCUCACAAAAGAAAUCGGAUCAAAUUCAGACUAUUCUUGAGACACAUUCCACUACUCUUUCUGUUUCUUCUAGUUUCUGAUUACGUUGCAUUAAGUAUACACGCGCACGCACGCACACACACACACACCAAUGUAGUUCCAUUUCAGCAGUUCAGUGCGCAGUCUCCUUGUAGAGAUCCUCCCCCUCAAUCCUGCCAGAACAAUCCUUUUUUCAAAAUGUUCUACUAGAAAUUAAACCACAGAUUGCAUCUUUA